rnacentral:rRNA from 1 species
AUUGAACGCUGGCGGCAGGCCUAACACAUGCAAGUCGAGCGGAUGAAGGGAGCUUGCUCCUGGCUUCAGCGGCGGACGGGUGAGUAAUGCCUAGGAAUCUGCCUGGUAGUGGGGGAUAACGUCCGGAAACGGGCGCUAAUACCGCAUACGUCCUGAGGGAGAAAGUGGGGGAUCUUCGGACCUCACGCUAUCAGAUGAGCCUAGGUCGGAUUAGCUAGUUGGUGGGGUAACGGCUUACCAAGGCGACGAUCCGUAACCGGCCUGAGAGGAUGAUCAGUCAAACGGAACUUGAACACGGGCCAAGCUCCUACGGGGAGGAAGAAGUGGGAAUAUUGGAGCAUGGGGCGAAAGCUUGUCCAAGCAAGGCGGGGGGAUGGAGGAAGGCCUCGGAUUGGUAAACACCUUUAAUUAGGGAAGAGGACAGGUAGAUAUUACCUUGCUGGUUUGGCGUUACCAUCAGAAGAAGCCCCGGCUAACUUCGUG